rnacentral:rRNA from 2 species
GUCCUUUAGAUAUUAAUUUAAGGUCUAACCUGCCCACUGAAUUAUUUUAAAUGGCCGCAGUAAUUUGACUGUGCAAAGGUAGCAUAAUCAUUAGUUUUUUAAUUGAAAGCUUGUAUGAAAGGUUGGACGAAGUAAAAUCUGUCUCUAAUUAAAUUAAUUUAGAAUUUAACUUUUAAGUUAAAAGGCUUAAAUUUAACUAAAAGACGAGAAGACCCUAUAGAUCUUUAUAUUUAAAUUAAUAAAUUUAAUUAAGAAUUUUUAAAAUUUUAUUAAUUUAAUUAUUUUAUUGGGGUAAUAUAAAGAUUAAAAUAAUUCUUUUUUUUUAUUAACAUUAAUUUAUGAUUUUGAUGAUCCAAUUAUAUUGAUUUUAAGAUUAAGUUACCUUAGGGAUAACAGCGUAAUUUUUUUAGAGAGUUCUUAUCGAUAAGAAAGUUUGCGACCUCGAUGUUGGAUUAAAGAUUAUUUUAGGUGUAGAAGCUUAAAAAUUUUGGUCUGUUCGACCAUUAAAUCUUUACAUGAUCUGAGUUCAGACCGGUGUAAGCCAGGUCGGUUUCUAUCUUUAGUAAAUUAAAAUAUUUUAGUACGAAAGGACCAAUUAUUUAAUAUAAAUAUUUAAAUUUUGAUUAUUAUUAA